rnacentral:rRNA from 1 species
UACGUAGGGGGCAAGCGUUGUCCGGAUUUAUUGGGCGUAAAGAGCGUGUAGGCGGCCAGUCGGGUCGGUUGUGAAAACUCGAGGCUCAACCUCGAGACGCCGAUGGAAACCGACUGGCUAGAGUCCGGAAGAGGAGAGUGGAAUUCCCGGUGUAGCGGUGAAAUGCGCAGAUAUCGGGAAGAACACCCGUGGCUAAGGCGGCUCUCUAGUACGGUACUGACGCUGAGACGCGAAAGCGUGGGGAGCGAACAGG